CUGGCUCAGAACGAACGCUGGCGGCGCGUUUAAGCAUGCAAGUCGAGCGGCAAGGGCCUCGGGCCCCUAGAGCGGCGGACGGGUGAGUAACACGUGGACAAUCUGCCCCCCGGCCCGGGAUAGCCCAGGGAAACCUGGAUUAAUACCGGAUGAGACGGGACCCGCGAAGGCGGGACCCGGGAAAGGCGCUGCGGCGCCGCCGGGGGAUGAGUCUGCGUCCCAUUAGCUAGACGGCGGGGUAACGGCCCACCGUGGCGACGAUGGGUAGCCGGCCUGAGAGGGUGACCGGCCACACUGGGACUGGAACACGGCCCAGACUCCUACGGGAGGCAGCAGUGGGGAAUAUUGCGCAAUGGGCGAAAGCCUGACGCAGCGACGCCGCGUGAGGGGAAUGAAGGUCCUCGGAUCGUAAACCUCUGUCAGGAGGGAAGAACCGCCACGGUGCUAAUCAGCCGUGGUCUGACGGUACCUCCAAAGGAAGCACCGGCUAACUCCGUGCCAGCCGCCGC
rnacentral:rRNA from 1 species